rnacentral:tRNA from 1 species
GGGCGCAUCGUAUAACGGUCAGUGCAGGCGGCUCAUAACCGUCAUGGUGCAGGUUCGAUUCCUGCUGCGCCCACCA